rnacentral:rRNA from 1 species
CCCAAAGGUUCCCUCAGAAUGGUUGGAAACCAUUCGCAGAGUGCAAAGGCAGAAGGGAGCUUGACUGUGACACCGACGGGUGGAGCAGGUACGAAAGUAGGGCUUAGUGAUCCGGUGGUAUUAAGUGGGAAUGCCAUCGCUCAACGGAUAAAAGCUACCCUGGGGAUAACAGGCUUAUCACUCCCAAGAGUUCACAUCGACGGAGUGGUUUGGCACCUCGAUGUCGGCUCAUCGCAUCCUGGGGCUGUAGUAGGUCCCAAGGGUUGGGCUGUUCGCCCAUUAAAGCGGUACGCGAGCUGGGUUCAGAACGUCGUGAGACAGUUCGGUCCCUAUCCGGCGUGGGCGUAGGAUAUUUGAGAGGAGCUGUCCUUAGUACGAGAGGACCGGGAUGGACUGACCUCUGGUGUAUCGGUUGUUCUACCAAGAGCAUGGCCGAGUAGCCAAGUCGGGAAGGGAUAAACGCUGAAGGCAUCUAAGCGUGAAGCCCCCCUCAAGAUGAGAUAUCCCAUAACGCAAGUUAGUAAGACCCCUUGAAGACGACGAGGUAGAUAGGGCAGAGGUGGAAGUGCAGUAAUGCAUGGAGCUGACUGUUACUAAUAGGUCGAGGGCUUAACCAAG